rnacentral:rRNA from 3 species
UGGACGAAAGUCUGACGGAGCAACGCCGCGUGAGUGAUGAAGGUUUUCGGAUCGUAAAGCUCUGUUGUUAGGGAAGAACAAGUGCAAGAGUAACUGCUUGCACCUUGACGGUACCUAACCAGAAAGCCACGGCUAACUACGUGCCAGCAGCCGCGGUAAUACGUAGGUGGCAAGCGUUGUCCGGAAUUAUUGGGCGUAAAGGGCUCGCAGGCGGUUUCUUAAGUCUGAUGUGAAAGCCCCCGGCUCAACCGGGGAGGGUCAUUGGAAACUGGGAAACUUGAGUGCAGAAGAGGAGAGUGGAAUUCCACGUGUAGCGGUGAAAUGCGUAGAGAUGUGGAGGAACACCAGUGGCGAAGGCGACUCUCUGGUCUGUAACUGACGCUGAGGAGCGAAAGCGUGGGGAGCGAACAGGAUUAGAUACCCUGGUAGUCCACGCCGUAAACGAUGAGUGCUAAGUGUUAGGGGGUUUCCGCCCCUUAGUGCUGCAGCUAACGCAUUAAGCACUCCGCCUGGGGAGUACGGUCGCAAGACUGAAACUCAAAGGAAUUGACGGGGGCCCGCACAAGCGGUGGAGCAUGUGGUUUAAUUCGAAGCAACGCGAAGAACCUUACCAGGUCUUGACAUCCUCUGACAACCCUAGAGAUAGGGCUUUCCCUUCGGGGACAGAGUGACAGGUGGUGCAUGGUUGUCGUCAGCUCGUGUCGUGAGAUGUUGGGUUAAGUCCCGCAACGAGCGCAACCCUUGAUCUUAGUUGCCAGCAUUUAGUUGGGCACUCUAAGGUGACUGCCGGUGACAAACCG